UACGUAGGGGGCAAGCGUUGUCCGGAUUUAUUGGGCGUAAAGAGCGUGUAGGCGGCCAGGUAGGUCAGCUGUGAAAACUCGAGGCUCAACCUCGAGCUGUCGGCUGAAACCAUCUGGCUAGAGUCCGGAAGAGGAGAAUGGAAUUCCCGGUGUAGCGGUGAAAUGCGCAGAUAUCGGGAAGAACACCCGUGGCGAAGGCGGUUCUCUGGGACGGUACUGACGCUGAGGUGCGAAAGCGUGGGGAGCAAACAGG
rnacentral:rRNA from 1 species